CACGUAGUUAGCCGUGACUUUCUGGCGGGGCACCAUCAGUCAGCACCCAUUUCCUGAUGCUGCCUUUUUUCCCCCGCAACAGAGCUUUACGACCCGAAGGCCUUCUUCACUCACGCGGCAUCGCUCGUUCAGGCUUGCGCCCAUUGACGAAAAUCCCCUACUGCUGCCUCCCGCAGGAGUCUGGGCCGUGUCUCAGUCCCAAUGUGGCCGUCCGCCCUCUCAGGCCGGCUAUGCAUCAUCGUCUUGGUGGGCCUUUACCCCGCCAACCAACUAAUGCACCGCAGGUCCAUCCGCGCCCCAUCCCCCUAAAGGAUGUUUCACAGAAAGAAGAUGCCUCCUUCCUGUACAUCGGGAUUUGUUCUCCGUUUCCAGAGCGUAUUCCCGGUGCGCGGGCAGGUUCCCUACGUGUUACUCACCCGUUUCGCCACUAGAGACUCGAAGGUCUCUCGUUCGACUUGCAUGUAUUAGGCAUGCCGCCAGCGUUUCAUCCUGAGCCAGGAUA
rnacentral:rRNA from 1 species